rnacentral:rRNA from 1 species
UACGUAGGGUGCGAGCGUUAAUCGGAAUUACUGGGCGUAAAGCGUGCGUAGGCGGUUGGCAAAGUCAGCUGUGAAAGCCCCGGGCUUAACCUGGGAAUGGCGGUUGAAACUAGUCGACUCGAAUCUGGCAGAGGGGGGUGGAAUUCCACGUGUAGCAGUGAAAUGCGUAGAGAUGUGGAGGAACACCGAUGGCGAAGGCAGCCCCCUGGGCUGAGAUUGACGCUCAGGCACGAAAGCGUGGGGAGCGAACGGG